GCUACAUUUCAAUGGAGUUACUUCUCAUUCAUAUGAAGUGGUAACUCGUAAGUACAUGGAAUUGGAUUGUGCCUCCUGGUGAACUGUUCAAAUUUUCUCUAACAUGUGUAUAAAACAAUUGGGAAGCUAGGGAGCAGAAAUGACAAUAGAUGUUGCUACCUCUGGCUGAUCUAGUAAUCUUGCUAUAGAAAUUAUAUAUAGAGUAGGAAGCAUCUGGACAACCUACAUUACUAGUGGGCCAGGCGGGUCCUGCACGUGCUUGCACGUCGGGGCAGUGGCAAUGGCCCUCGCUUGCCAGCGCGUCAGGUGGCCACGGCAGAUGGCCAGGGAGGAUAGGAACCACCACAGUCUACACUAGCACGGCACCACCCUAUCCAC
rnacentral:lncRNA from 1 species